rnacentral:rRNA from 1 species
GACGAACGCUGGCGGCGUGCUUAACACAUGCAAGUCGAACGGAAAGGCCCUGCUUUUGUGGGGUGCUCGAGUGGCGAACGGGUGAGUAACACGUGAGUAACCUGCCCUUGACUUUGGGAUAACUUCAGGAAACUGGGGCUAAUACCGGAUAGGAGCUCCUGCUGCAUGGGGGGGGUUGGAGAGUUUCGGCGGUUGGGGAUGGACUCGCGGCUUCUCAGCUGGUUGGUGGGGUAGUGGCUUACCAAGGCUUUGACGGGUAGCCGGCCUGAGCGGGUGACCGGCCACCAUGGGACUGAGGUGCGGCCCAGACUCCUACGGGGGGCAGCAGUGGGGAAUAUUGCACAAUGGGCGGAAGCCGGAUGCAGCAACGCCGCGUGCGGGAUGACGGCCGUCGGGUUGUAGACCGCUUUCGCCUGUGACGAAGCGUGAGUGACGGUAAUGGGUAAAGAAGCACCGGCUAACUACGUG